rnacentral:rRNA from 1 species
GACGAACGCUGGCGGCGUGCUUAACACAUGCAAGUCGAACGAAGAGCGAUGGAAGCUUGCUUCUAUCAAUCUUAGUGGCAACCGGGUGAGUAACGCGUAAUCAACCUGCCCUUCAGAGGGGGACAACAGUUGGAACCGACUGCUAAUACCGCAUACGAUCUAAUCUCGGCAUCGAGGAAAGAUGAAAGGUGGCCUCUAUUUAUAAGCUAUCACUGAAGGAGGGGAUUGCGUCGGAUUAGCUAGUUGGCGGGGUAACGGCCCACCAAGGCGAUGAUCAGUAGCCGGUCUGAGAGGAUGAACGGCCACAUUGGGACUGAGACACGGCCCAGACUCCUACGGGAGGCAGCAGUGGGGAAUCUUCCGCAAUGGACGAAAGUCUGACGGAGCAACGCCGCGUGAGUGAUGACGGCCUUCGGGUUGUAAAGCUCUGUUAAUCGGGACGAAAGGCCUUCUUGCGAACAGUUAGAAGGAUUGACGGUACCGGAAUAGAAAGCCACGGCUAACUACGUG